rnacentral:rRNA from 1 species
GACGAACGCUGGCGGCGUGCUUAACACAUGCAAGUCGAACGGAAAGGCCCUGCUUUUGUGGGGUGCUCGAGUGGCGAACGGGUGAGUAACACGUGAGUAACCUGCCCUUGACUUUGGGAUAACUUCAGGAAACUGGGGCUAAUACCGGAUAGGAGCUCCUGCUGCAUGGUGGGGGUUGGAAAGUUUCGGCGGUUGGGGAUGGACUCGCGGCUUAUCAGCUUGUUGGUGGGGUAGUGGCUUACCAAGGCUUUGACGGGUAGCCGGCCUGAGAGGGUGACCGGCCACAUUGGGACUGAGAUACGGCCCAGACUCCUACGGGAGGCAGCAGUGGGGAAUAUUGCACAAUGGGCGGAAGCCUGAUGCAGCAACGCCGCGUGCGGGAUGACGGCCUUCGGGUUGUAAACCGCUUUCGCCUGUGACGAAGCGUGAGUGACGGUAAUGGGUAAAGAAGCACCGGCUAACUACGUGCCAGCAGCCGCGGUGAUACGUAGGGUGCGAGCGUUGUCCGGAUUUAUUGGGCGUAAAGGGCUCGUAGGUGGUUGAUCGCGUCGGAAGUGUAAUCUUGGGGCUUAACCCUGAGCGUGCUUUCGAUACGGGUUGACUUGAGGAAGGUAGGGGAGAAUGGAAUUCCUGGUGGAGCGGUGGAAUGCGCAGACAUCAGGAGGAACACCAGUGGCGAAGGCGGUUCCCUGGGCCUUUCCUGACGCUGAGGAGCGAAAGCGUGGGGAGCGAACAGGCUUAGAUACCCUGGUAGUCCACGCUGUAAACGGUGGGUACUAGGUGUGGGGUCCAUUCCACGGGUUCCGUGCCGUAGCUAACGCUUUAAGUACCCCGCCUGGGGAGUACGGCCGCAAGGCUAAAACUCAAAGGAAUUGACGGGGCCCCGCACAAGCGGCGGAGCAUGCGGAUUAAUUCGAUGCAACGCGUAGAACCUUACCUGGGUUUGACAUGGAUCGGGAGUGCUCAGAGAUGGGUGUGCCUCUUUUGGGGUCGGUUCACAGGUGGUGCAUGGCUGUCGUCAGCUCGUGUCGUGAGAUGUUGGGUUAAGUCCCGCAACGAGCGCAACCCUUGUUCACUGUUGCCAGCACGUUAUGGUGGGGACUCAGUGGAGACCGCCGGGAUCAACUCGGAGGAAGGUGGGGAUGACGUCAAGUCAUCAUGCCCCUUAUGUCCAGGGCUUCACGCAUGCUACAAUGGCUGGUACAGAGAGUGGCGAGCCUGUGAGGGUGAGCGAAUCUCGGAAAGCCGGUCUCAGUUCGGAUUGGGGUCUGCAACUCGACCUCAUGAAGUCGGAGUCGCUAGUAAUCGCAGAUCAGCAACGCUGCGGUGAAUACGUUCCCGGG